rnacentral:lncRNA from 10 species
CUAAGGUGAUAGCUACAUGUCCAAGCCUAUUGCGUGGCAUGCAUUUUGCCUUCUGCAGCCCACUAAAGGAGUUUGCAGUUCACCCGCAAACCUCAGCGAUCCAAGCUCCCCUGGAUGACCAUCACUCACCAAGAAAAGAGCAAUAACAGGACCUGUUUUGCUAAUCCAGGACUGUUCUCCAGCACUAACUCUAAAUAAUCCCUUCUGCUAGAGUCCACUUUCUGGAACCUGUUGGAGAAGACAUCUUACUCUUAUUGGAUCAUGCACAGUGCCUGAAGCAUUCUGUUGCAUGUAGAAGUCAGUAAAUUGCAGAUGUAAGAUUCAAAACCAGACUUCACAUCUACCGACUUCAGUGACCCUGAAAUUUGUUCACAGAGAGCAUUUAACAUAACUGUCUUCAUCAUCUCCUUCUCUACAUUAAAAAUUAUGGAAUAUACAGGGAGGUGUGAUGUACCCAUUAUCACAAGCAGAUGGAAUCCCUAUAGAGUCGGAUCUCAUCUACAUAUCACCUAUUAUAUGUAGUUAUUGAUGGAUAAAUACUUCAACAACUAAAGGCAGAAAGAGAGCAGUUCACAAAGACGUUAUUGGUGAUUCAAUCUUGAGUCAUGAAAAGUCAACCUUGAGCCACAAAAAGUCAACCUUGAGCCAAGCAGAUUGGAGAGUCAUACAUGCCAUUCCUGGGACCAUCAAAAAUGGCAGAGGUCACACAAAAAGGCAAAACUUUUAAGAGGUGUUUUAAACGUCGUAUGGGCCAAAGAGAAGCUGGAUUUCCUAUUGGAGUCACCUGUAACACACGUGUGACGAAAUUGGCCUGUGAGGACAAGGCAGUGAGCAGAGAGGACAGCAGUCCUUAUGAGAUCAAGCUCUAAGUUUUGAGAAGAAUGCGAAGAAGAAAGGAAGAGUGAGCCUCUCUUUCCC